ACCGCCUCCAGUAUCUCACCACUCGUAACGUAAGCACCGCCGCAGUUGAACCUGUCCAGGUACGGAAACCACCGCCCGCCGCCGCCGCAGCCGCUCCGGCGGCGUUCCAUUUUCAUGAGCUUCACGACGUCGUCCCGGUGCGUGAGGAGGUGCUCCACCGUGUCUUGUGACUCCGGCGGAUCUAGGGUUUCGGAAAUUGGGGACGGAGCUUCGAAAUCUGCGGCUUCUGCUGCUGCAAUUGAAGCGUGCGGCCGAUGAGGGAGGUUGUUCUGGGAGAGUCUGAGCCCUAGAUUUGAUUAAAGGCACGAAAUUGAAUCAGGCGGCGGUGAUUUUUAGGCGUAGAAAUUUCUAGAGAGAAAGAGUGUACCUUUAUUGGGGGAAAGGAGAGGAGAGAAGCAGAGAUUGAGAAGAGGGGUGAAUUGGGGCCGGAGAGUGGAGCCGAUUGAAGAGAGAGAAGUGUGGAUUAGGGUCCUGCAGGCCGCCAUUGGAGAAAUUUGGCGCCAAGCUGGAGAGUGAGUUUUCACUUUUCAGUGGCCAAAAUGACAGAGACGACAGAUUUUAGUUUUUUUUUUUUUUUUUAAGAAGGUUGGGAACCCGUUAACCUGACAAGCCCAUUAGGCCCAUGACAGCCUAGCCCUGCAUGGGGUCCGGCUAGCCCGCAUGUUUGAAGUCGUCGUUUCGGGUUUUUUUUUUUUAAGGUGGGAAUUGCUUGCUCGAUCAGGCCCAUUAGGCGCUGACCCCCUAGCCAUGCAUGGGCUCCGCCUAGCCCGAAUAGUUUAAAAACUGGUUUAAUUGUACUUAAUAUUUAAUCCCGAUAUUAAUGACGAUUAAUACUUUUCUCCCUUAUAAAAUCUGCUGCAACUCUUUCCCAUCUUCCAUCUUCAUCGAGCUCCGUCCUUAUGGCCACCAUCCAAGUUUCCAUUUCUUCACCGCACCAAUCUCUCUGCUCCCCAAAGAAGCUUUGCCAACCAAAGUCAGGCUACCUCACAGUCAACACCACCACAGGCUCCUCUGUUUUUCUACACCUUCUAGGAAUCUCAGAGACUCACCUUCCCUGACCUCUCGCAAAUUGCGCUUCUCAUUUGGCUCCAGGGUGAGCCCGGAUGCUCCUUCUUGUUUGGUAACUUCAAUAUUCAUGGACCAUGUCAACUUAAACCAUCACCACUAGUUUUUUGCUUCUGUAUUAGCUAUUAGGUUCCAUUAAUUUUUUUAUUUCUUCAAAAAAAAAAAUCGCAUACUUAGGGAUCCUAACCUACAGUAUUACAUCCUAAUUAAUCAUAUGAAGCUACAAAUUUAAUCUACCAGUAUAUCCGCCUGGAGACCCGUAUGAUGUACAUGGUUACUGACAGAAAUGUAACAACCCAAAAAUCAAGGGAAACAGGGCACAUGCCAAGUUAAAAGGAGGUUAUUCUUCCUAAUUGCACCUAAUCCCUUCACUUCAGCCCUCAUUUACUUGAGAUUUGAGAACGUUUGGUGAAACGUGCGUCUAAGGAGCACCAAACCAUACAUACUAACCGUUCAUAAAUACUGAUGUAGAAUACAACCACAUCUACUCCAACUCUAAUCAUCACCAUGUCAAACUCAAGAGAUUCUCAUGCACAGCCUCUUCUUCCUCACAUAGCUCUAUUCCCAUGCGCCGGAAUGGGCCAUCUGACUCCUUUCCUGCGCCUCGCUUCCACGCUCUCCUCCUCCCAAAACUGCUUGGUCACCUUGAUCACAGCCUCCCCUGCUGUUUCCGCAGCAGAGUCCACACACAUUUCCUUGUUCCUUUCUCAACACCCAAAAGUCAACCAUCUUGAGUUCCAUCUCAUUCCCUCCGAUCCAACCACCACCACCAUUCCCGACCCUUUCUUUCUCCAAUGGCAAUCCACCAACCACUCUCUCCAUCUCCUCUACCCUUCACUCGCUUCCGCAUCGCCGCCUCUCUCGGCGAUCUUCUCCGACUUUGUAGUAGCACCAAGUAUGGGAACAAUGGCUGCCCAACUCAACAUUCCCAACUACAUCUUCUCCCCACUUCAUGUAAGUUCUUCUGUCUCAUGGCUUACCUUCCUACUCUCUUAUCAAACACUUCAGAUAUUAGCACUCUAACUCAAGUCGAAAUCCCCNNNNNNNNNNNNNNNNNNNNUUUGGAAGCAGAACAGCUAUGUCGGAUUCACAGAUAAGAGAGCUCUCAAAAGGGUUGGAGACAAGUGGAUAUAGGUUCUUGUGGGUACUGAAGACUAGUAAAGUUGAUAAGGAUGAUAUACAAGAGGUGAGUGAUAUGGUGGGAGAGUCAUUUAUGGAGAGAACAAAGAACAAGGGCAUUGUAUUGAAAGCUUGGGUAAGCCAGCAGGAUAUUCUAGAACAUCCAGCCAUUGGAGGGUUUGUGAAUCACUGCGGUUGGAACUCGGUUAUGGAAGCGGCCCGGGAAGGCAUUCCGGUGCUGGCGUGGCCGCAACAUGGGGAUCAAAGCGUGAACGCUGAGAUUGUGGAGAAGGCAGGGUUAGGGAUAUGGGAGAGGAAAUGGGGUUGGGGACUUGAAGGGUUGGUGAGUGCUGAAGAGAUAAGAAAUAAGAUUGUGGAGCUGAUGGAACAUGAGAAGGUGAGGAGUUGUUCUAAAAAGGUUGGGGAAGAGGCUAGGAAAGCUAGUGGGAUUGAUGGCAGAUCUGAGAAGGUGGUCAAGGAAAUCAUGCAGUCUUUGAUGCAGAAGAGAAACUAGCAGGACCUUGCAAUUAGAGAAUAUUAGUCAACAAUAUGUUCGCUAAAUUUUUUUCCUAUAGCUAGAUCAUGAAAAUGCAUAACCACGACAUUAACAAUGUCAUAUCAUGAUCGGGAAUGCAAUUAAUUAACUUUAAUCUCUUUGGAGCGGGUUGCCCUAAGGCGAUUCUGUGUAAUUUUUGUUUAGUAGCAAAAAACAAAAAUGUCAUGUCAUGAUCUCUAAUCGUAUCAAGAUACUAGGGAUCCAAUCCUUGUACAAGAGAAGCGAUAAAGAGUUUGUUAUUAGGUCGUAGUUUUGAAUAGUUGUGCAUGGUAGAUUGGUAGUCCUAAUCUAAAGGGAGUUAGCUCGGGAAUUAGUUGUGCUGACCAAUUAUUUAGGUCUAGGAGUAUCCGAUCCCUUGAGUCUAGGAGUCUUAGUUUAGUUGUUGUUUUGCUAUUUAAGCAAGUUGAUCAGUCAAUAAACAAGUACUUUGAUUCCAGAAAUUCUUCUUCAAUUUGCAGCAGCAAGUAUCAUAUGGCAACAUAAUCAAACUUUGUGCAGUCUUCAAUACUAAGGUUCAAUGAUCAUUAUAAUCAAUGGAGCAUGUUAUGGAAAACUUCUUGCGGUAUAUGGAAUAUUGGUGUGUUGUUGAAACAGGCAGUUCUCAGUGUUCAGAUUUUUUAACUUCAUUUCCUCCAAGGUCUUCUGCUGCUGGUUCACUGACCCCAAUUUCAACAACACACCAAUAAUCUUUGGACGGCAUCGACGUUCUCCAUCAACAUGGUCCAGUGAUCGUAAUGACCAUCAAACCUUGGGACCAAAAGGCAGAUACGGCAUCAAACCUUUAGCCGCCACAGAGGAACGGCGACGCCUUCAGCCGCCAUGGCCCCUCUUCAUAACUUUGUGCAGCCUUCAAUACCAAGGUUCGAUGGUCAUUAUAACCAAUGGAGCAUGCUAUGGAAAACUUCCUGCGGUUUAAUUAAUAUUGGUGUGUUGUUUUCCAUGAGCAUGGUCCAAUGGUCGUAAUGGCCAUCAAACCUUGGGAUUGAAGGCACAUAAGGCAUAAGCGACGCCUUAAGCCGCUACAGAGGAACAGCGACGCCUUCAGCAGCCACAGACCCUCUGCGUUCCAUUUUCAUGAGCUUCACGACGUCGUCCCGGUGCGUGAGGAGGUGCUCCACCGUGUCUUGUGACUCCGGCGGAUCUAGGGUUUCGGAAAUUGGGGACGGAGCUUCGAAAUCUGCGGCUUCUGCUGCUGCAAUUGAAGCGUGCGGCCGAUGAGGGACGUUGUUCUGGGAGAGUCUGAGCCCUAGAUUUGAUUAAAGGCACGAAAUUGAAUCAGACGGUGGUGAUUAUUGGGCGUAGAAAUUUCUAGAGAGAGAAAGAGAGUAACUUUAUUGACGGAAAGGAGAGGAGAGAAGCGGAGAUUGAGAAGAGGGGUAAAUUGGGGCCGGAGAGUGGAACGGAUUGAAGAGAGAGAAGUGUGGAUUAGGGUUUUGCAGGCCGCCAUUGGAGAAAUUUGGCGCCAAGCUGGAGAGUGAGUUUUCAGUGGCCAAAAUGACAGAGAGGGCAGAGUGAGUGAGUGAGUUUUUUUUUUUUUGAAGGUGGGACCCCUUAACCCGACAAGCCCAUUAGGCCCUUACCGCCUAGCCAUGCAUGGGCUCCGUCUAGCCCGUAUAGUUUAAAAAACUGGUUUACUUGUACUUAAUAUUUAAUCACGAUAUUAAUCACGAUUAAUGCUUUCUCCUUUAUAAAAUCUGGAACUAAUUUCAGUUUACUCCUGUUAACUUUAGGUCGAUCAUCAUGUUAAUCAUUCUUCUUUCAAUUUUAUCAAAAACACCCAUCGACUCUUAAUUUUCAUCAGUAGUGUCUAAACCUUCGUUCUUCAUCCAAUUCCUCCGUCAAGUGAUGACGUGACAUCAAGAAGAAAGUCAGAUUCCGAAAAAAUAAUCUUUAUGAUCAUUUUUCCCCAUAUCGAUACACAUCUCCGUUCCCAUCACAACCUCCUAACCUUAAUGAUUUUUGGUGGGAUUGAAUGCAAUUCGUUCUCCAUCCAAUUCCUCCGUCAAGUGAUGACGUGACAUCAAGAAGAAAGUCAAAUUCUGAAAAAAUAAUCUUUCUGAUCAUUCUUCCCCCAUAUCGAUACACAUCUCCGUUCCCAUCACAACCUCCUAACCUUAAUGAUUUUGGUGAAAUUGAAUGCAGUUUGUCCAUUUUGCCCUUUUUCUGUGGGCCCAACCAAGGAUUAAAAUCUCUACGAUAUAUCCGAUAUAUCCUCUGAUGUCUCCCUUUUUCGAAUGACCGAUAUAUCUAUAAGGGUCAAUAUCUUAUCUUCCACCGUAUCUACGAUAUUUCCCUGAUAUUUAGGAAAUAUCGUCAAAUAUCACCAAUAUUUAUGAAAUAUCUCUGACAUUUAUGAUAUUUUCGAUAUAUCACCGACAUAUUAAAAAAAUAUCUGUAAAAAAUUGAAAUGAUAUCCGGAAGAGAAGUAAUUCCCUCGAGGUGUAUCCCAAUGAAAAGUAGUGGUCUCGACUCUCGACUCUCAACUCUCGAGAAGAGCAUGAUUCCUUUCGAGACAUAUCUGGAUGCAGAUCGAUCUAUUACACAAUUAUCAAACUUGAAGAUGAGUGGACAGUGGAGGAAUAUUUAUACUUGAGAAAGAGAAAGAGAAUGAGUAUAAGAUAGAGAACACAGGUGUACUGGUGAGACCGUGAGUCCGUGACAUAAGAUAGAGAACACAAUUAUAGAGAUGAGAAACAGAGAGAGAGAGAGAGAGAGAGAGAGAGAGAGAGAGAGAGAGAGAGAGAGAGAGAGAGAGAGAGAGAGAGAGAGAGA
rnacentral:lncRNA from 1 species